CCAUACAUACCACCCUGCAUGUGCCCAAACUCAUCUGAUCUCAGAACCUAAGCAGGAUUGGGAAUAUUGGGAAUAUUUGGGAAUAUCCAGAAAUAUUAGGGAAUAUCGG
rnacentral:rRNA from 1 species